rnacentral:tRNA from 1 species
GGGGUUGUAGCUCAGCUGGGAGAGCGCUUGAAUGGCAUUCAAGAGGUCAGGGGUUCGAUUCCCCUCAGCUCCACCA